UGGGAUAUGAGCAAACGUGUACACGAUACUUAUUCCCUGUACCCGUAUUCUCAUAUCUGAGC
rnacentral:pre_miRNA from 1 species